rnacentral:tRNA from 1 species
UGGUCUCCGAGCCCUCUAGGCGCGCGCUGGACGGCCGCAGGCUGCCCACCGCGGUCAAGAUCGUGAUUGCGGGCGGGUUCGGCGUCGGCAAGACCACC